ACUGCAAAGAAGAGAAGGGCGGGUUAGCUGUUGCUGGGACACCCUUACUCCAUUUCCAUUCCACCCCCAUGCUUCUUGCUUCUGCUGCCUCGACCUCUCACCUCUGGUUCAAGAUUUAAUACAGGGCUUUUUAAUUUGUAACACAAUGGCUAUUUUUACAAGUUUCUGAGUUUUAUACUGCACUUUUAAUAUGGAGGAAACCUAUAGCACACCAAAUGAUCAGAAAUUAUUGUAGGGAGUGAGUUCUGGGCAGCCAUCACAGAGAAGGAAGGCCUAUGUAACUGAUUAUGAUACAGACAGAGAAAUGGGAAGCAGAAAGUAAAAAUGCAAAGCCAGUGUGGGUGGUAUUCUAGGGCCCAGAAUAUUCUUUCCGGAGCAACAUUGUUUAUUUUCACACUAAUAGGUGCUUUUCACACUAAUAGGACACAGGCCUUUCUUUUGCUUAUUUUCUACAACAACACCUGGCGUGUCAUUUAAUAUAAGUGCUAGGGAUUACCAAUUUAACAGACAAGCCGAAGACAUGGGAUGUGGGGGAGAGAUAAGAAAAAACAGUAUAAUUUACUGACUAUAUAUAAACACUGAGAUUUCAUUUUUUUAACAGAAAAAGCACCAUGCUAAUAGCAGUAUUGAUGGAUGGAUUGAAAACUGGGGUGUGGGUGGGCUUCAACUCUGAAAUUCUGUGAUUCUAUGGCUGGCCUAGGUAGCACAGUCGUAAGUGGACCUGGAGUUGGAUUUUAGUUUGGGAUUUAUUCAUGCUCUCACUCAACAAAUAUGCACUCUGCUAGGUGCUGGAGAUAAAGCAGUAAGCAAAAACACGUAAGAUUUCCACCCUCGUGGAAUUUAAAGUCUAGAGAACACAGAUGAUCAAAUAAAUUUAUUUACAGCUGCAAUUUAUCAGGCAUAAGAGAAGAAGGUACACGGAACUGUGAGAGCCUUUGAUGGGGGAUUUGACUUGUCAGAAGAAGCAAUGCUUGAGUUGGUGGGAGUUUAGGCAAAGGGAGGAGGGAAGAGUGCUCUAGGCACAGGAGAAGGCAUGUGCAAAGGUCCUGUGGCAGAAAAAGCAUAGUGAACAUGAAAACCUGGAAGAAGGCCAGAGUGGGUGGAACAGAGAAAGCAAAAGGGAGUGUGGGGUGAGACAGCUGGGAAAAUAAGAGAAGAUCAUGUGGAAUCUUGAAGAAUAUGCACAGAAUUUUGGCUUUGUCCUAAGAGUAAACAUGCUGCUAUUGAACACUUUUAACCAGGGAAGUGACAGGAUCAGAUGUGGGAAGGUAGAGGGCGGGACAGUCUUCUGAUUGUAAGGAUUUGUGUAAAGCCCUGCAGAGGACACCCCCAGCCGGCUUUUCAGCCCGAACGCCCCAGGAAAAGCAGACAACCUUCCAUCAGCCAGUAGUGAGUCCUCGCUAUGCAUUAAACGGCCUGGAUGGAAGCACUGAUUCUGGCUCAGGAGGACUGACCAGUGGCCCCGAAGGAAUUGUAGCCAUUGGAAUACAUUUCACUUGCUAGUCUAGAUGUAGGACAUCAGCCUUUACAUUUAAUUGUGCAGAUAGCAUUCCAUUACAGGUAAUUGGGCCUUUAAAUUUUCCACUGCUUCCCCUAGCCUAGGGUUACACAAAACAAGGGAGUUUUCCAGAAGAUGGCCUGAUCCUACAGACUCCUCUCAAACCCUCUACCACAAAUGUUUUUUCCAGUGCCUGCCUCUCUGUGAAGAGGGUCCUUAACUGGGCUUUUUGUUUUGACCACUGGGUCAUCAUCAACCUUCACUUUCUCCUGCUCCAGACUUUAAAACCCCCCAAAUGUAGUGGCGGAGAAAGGUCCCCUUAAUCCCAAGAGUCACCCUAACCCCUGAUCCCCCAAGCUGGCUGUGGAACGUAAGCAGGGCCCCUGACUACUGUUUGAAACAUGAUGCACAAGGAACAGGGUGGGGUGCUGUGGCUGGGCUCUUCUGUCUGUCCCAUGUGAGCCCCCACGAGAGGUGUGGGGAACAGAGCAGCAAAGAGCGAGCAGAGAACAAGAGAGCUCUGAACUCUCGAAGGGAAAGUUGGUGAGGGGAGAAGGGUUCCAAACGAGGUUCUGAUCAUGGGAUCAGGAGACCCUCCCCGUCCUGGCCUCCUGUGCCACAGCACCAGUGAACGGAAGAGCCUGAGGACUGGAUGUUUCCUUUCGCACCAGGAAGGGUCCCUGAGCUUCUGGCAGAGCUCUGCCCCAGCCUGUGCAGUGUGGCCUCACAGAAGUCAGUAAGUCAUGAGGACUGUCAGUUUCCCCUUUCAUAAAAAAUGGAAAUAAUUGGUCCUGCCCAUGUCCUAGAGUAUUGUGAGGGCUGAGUGAAAUAGCUCUUCAAUCAGAGCUUUGAACGGGACGAGCUGCCAUCAUCUCCGCUCUUCGUUAUGUUUCAGCAAAAACACAGGGAUGCACGUCAAGGUGGGGGACUCCUAAACGCACCCAGCCAACUCUUCGCCUGCACACUGGAGGAAAAAAUUAUCCCUAAAUGGUUUUUCAUUCUAUGAGUCAAGCUCCCAUGCCUGUUUAUGAGCCAAGGGGACACUUUGGGGUAGUCCCGUGGAUCUGGACUCUGACCCUUUUCUAAGGCUUGAGUGAGCUGAGAAGGAAGAAGAGAGUUAAUACACCCCAGAGGGCAUGGAAUCAGCAGUCUCAUGACACUGCUAUUUUAAGACACUUCAAGAUUUGAAAUGAAUGAUUAAAGAUGGAACCAGCA